UCUCGGCUCUUGCAUCGAUGAAGAACGUAGUGAAAUGCGAUACUUGGUGUGAAUUGCAGAAUCUCGUGAACCAUUGAGUCUUUGAACGCAAGUUGUGCCCGAGGCCUUGUGGCCGAGGGCACGCCUGCUUGGGCGUCAUGGCAUAGUCGCCUUUGCUCCUUGCUU
rnacentral:rRNA from 1 species